rnacentral:misc_RNA from 1 species
AAGUCGUAACAAGGUUUCCGUAGGUGAACCUGCGGAAGGAUCAUUAAUGAAAUAACUAUGGCGUUGGUUGUAGCUGGCUCUUAGGAGCAUGUGCACGCCCGUCAUUCUUAUCUUUCCACCUGUGCACCUAAUGUAGGUCUGGAUAACUCUCGCUCACAUCGAGCGGAUGCAGAGAUUGCUGUGUCGAAAGAUCAGCUCUCUUUGAAUUUCCAGGUCUAUGUACAUUUACAAACUCCAAUUGUAUGAUAACGAAUGUAGUCAAUGGGCUUUCAAGCCUAUAAAACAAAAUACAACUUUCAGCAACGGAUCUCUUGGCUCUC